UCGAUUCCCUGAGUAGCGGCGAGCGAAACGGGAAGAGCCCAAACCAACAAGCUUGCUUGUUGGGGUUGUAGGACUCCAAUAUGGUAGUCUGUUAGUAUAGUUGAAGGAUUUGGAAAAUUCCGCUAAAGAGGGUGAAAGCCCCGUAGACGAAAUGCUGACAACACCUAGGAGGAUCCUGAGUACGGCGGAACACGAGAAAUUCCGUCGGAAUCCGCGGGGACCAUCCCGCAAGGCUAAAUACUCCCUAGUGACCGAUAGUGAACCAGUACCGUGAGGGAAAGGUGAAAAGCACCCCGGAAGGGGAGUGAAAUAGAUCCUGAAACCGUGUGCCUACAACAAGUCAAAGCUCGUUAAUGAGUGAUGGCGUGCCUUUUGUAGAAUGAACCGGCGAGUUACGAUUGCAUGCGAGGUUAAGUCGAAGAGACGGAGCCGCAGCGAAAGCGAGUCUGAAUAGGGCGAAUGAGUAUGUAGUCGUAGACCCGAAACCAUGUGAUCUACCCA
rnacentral:rRNA from 1 species